UUUUUUUUUUUUCAGAAGUAUAUAUUCAGUAUACCUGUGGGAAGCUUGAAUGGCAUCAUGGAAACCCACAGGUUGCUAUAGAUUUACUGUCCAAAGCAUUGGAUAUUCUGCAGAUUACUCAUGGGACAGAGUCACCUUUCACAAAAGAUCUCUUAUUGAAAUUGGAGCAAGCGCGUGCUGGGGAGUCUUUCAAACUUACACCUAAUGAUAUUAAGUGAUUUACUUCUCAACCAUGCAAGUUCCUAGAAAUGUUCAAUUUCUGUGUUGUCCAGUGAUGGCAAACAAUGGUUCUGUUAACUUGACCUUUUUGUAUAUGGCUAGUAUUUGAGGAUGCAGCAAGUCCAUUGAAAUGUUCAGUUAUAUGCGUUAUCCAGCGAAGGCAGAUAAUAAUUUUGUUAACUUGGCCUUUUUGUAUGUGGCUAGUAUUUUAGAAUGCAACAUGAAACUCACAGGUUUUCUAUCUUUGAUUGGUACUUAACUCAAA